UACGAAGGGGACUAGCGUUGUUCGGAAUCACUGGGCGUAAAGCGCACGUAGGCGGAUUUGUAAGUCAGGGGUGAAAUCCCAGAGCUCAACUCUGGAACUGCCUUUGAUACUGGGUAUCUUGAGUAUGGAAGAGGUAAGUGGAAUUGCGAGUGUAGAGGUGAAAUUCGUAGAUAUUCGCAGGAACACCAGUGGCGAAGGCGGCUUACUGGUCCAUAACUGACGCUGAGGUGGCGAAAGCGUGGGGAGCAAACAGG
rnacentral:rRNA from 1 species